AUGACUCCUACCUCGGCUCCGGGCCCUGACGGCCUCCCGGUUAAAUUCUUCCAGUCCUUCUGGAACGUGAUCAAACCGGAGGUCAUGGCCAUCUUCGAAGAGUUCCACGUUGGAUCUAUCGACCUCGGACGCCUCAACUUUGGGAUCAUCUCUCUCAUUCCUAAGGUGCCUGGCGCUUCCGACAUCCGCCAGUUUCGCCCGAUCACGGUCAUUAACGUGAUAUUCCGGAUUCUUGCAAAAGGGUACGCCAAUAGGGUGACCCUUAUUGCGGACCGCAUUACCCACCCCAACCAGUCCGCCUUCAUCCAAGGUUGGUAUAUUCUGGAUGGGAUGCUUGUUCUUCAUGAAGUCCUCCAUGAGGUCUGCGCCAAACACCUCAAGGCGGUCUUCCUGAAGAUUGAUUUCCAUAAGGCCGGUGACAUUGUUAGCUGGUCCUUCCUUCAGGAAGUUUUGUUCCGGAAGGGUUUCGACAACCGCUGGAUCACAGAGUCAUGCAGAUGGUCUCCUGCGGUCGCACGGCCGUUAACAUCAACGGAGAGAUCGGUCCUUUCUUCCCCACUCUUUGUGGGGUUCGACAAGGCGACCCCUUCUCCCCGUUCUUGUUCAAUAUGGUAG
rnacentral:rRNA from 1 species